rnacentral:rRNA from 1 species
UACGUAGGGUGCGAGCGUUAAUCGGAAUUACUGGGCGUAAAGCGUGCGCAGGCGGUUUUGCAAGCCGGGUGUGAAAUCCCCGGGCUUAACCUGGGAAUGGCAUUUGGGACUGCAAGGCUGGAGUGCGGCAGAGGAGACUGGAAUUUCUGGUGUAGCAGUGAAAUGCGUAGAUAUCAGGAGGAACACCGAUGGCGAAGGCAGGUCUCUGGGCUGACACUGACGCUCAUGCACGAAAGCGUGGGGAGCAAACAGG